AGCUCCAGUAGCGUAUAUUAAAGUUGCUGCAGUUAAAAAGCUCGUAGUUGGAUUUCUGAUUAUAUGAACUUAAUCCGUCCCGUUUAGGUGUAUGAGUAUUAAUGUUUAUUAAUCAUCCUUAAAGUACAUAUAUCUACCAUUAAUUUGGCCGGGUAUUUAUGGACUUUAUCAUUUACUUUGAAAAAAUUAGAGUGUUCAAAGCAGGCAUUAUUUGCCAUGAAUACAUUAGCAUGGAAUAAUAAGAUAGGACUUUGGUACUAUUUUGUUGGUUUUCAGCACUGAAGUAAUGAUUGAUAGGGACAGUUGGGGGCGCUACUAUUCAAUGGCCAGAGGUGAAAUUCUUGGAUUCAUUGAAGAGUAACUGAUGCGAAAGCGUUCGCCAAGGAUGUCUCUUUUAAUC
rnacentral:rRNA from 1 species